rnacentral:rRNA from 1 species
AGAGUUUGAUCAUGGCUCAGGACGAACGCUGGCGGCGUGCUUAACACAUGCAAGUCGAACGGAGCGAUUUAUUUCGGUAAAUCGCUUAGUGGCAAACGGGUGAGUAACGCGUAGGCAACCUGCCCUCGGGAUGGGGACAACGGCUCGAAAGAGCCGCUAAUACCGAAUGACGUACCUUUUUCACAUGGAAGAGAUACUAAAGAUGGGUCAAACCAUCGCCCGAGGAUGGGCCUGCGUCUGAUUAGCCAGUUGGUGAGGUAACGGCUCACCAAAGCAACGAUCAGUAGCCGGUCUGAGAGGAUGAACGGCCACAAUGGGACUGAGACACGGCCCAUACUCCUACGGGAGGCAGCAGUGGGGAAUAUUGCACAAUGGAGGAAACUCUGAUGCAGCGACGUCGCGUGAGCGAAGAAGGUUUUCGAAUCGUAAAGCUCUGUCCUAUGGGAAGAAGAAAGACGGUACCAUGCCUCAAAAAAAAACCCCCCCUACGUGCCAGCAGCCGC